rnacentral:rRNA from 1 species
GUUUGAUUAUGGCUCAGAACGUACGCUGGCGGCACGCCUUAUACAUGCAAGUCGAACGAAGUAGCAAUACUUAGUGGCAGACGGGUGAGUAACAUGUGGGUAUCUUCCCUUUGGCCUGGAAUAACACGAGGAAACUUGUGCUAAUACCGGAUAAGUCUUUACGGAGAAAGCUUUAUGCACCAUUGGAUGAGCCCGCACUUGAUUAGUUUGUUGGUGGGGUAAUGGCCUACCAAGACAAUUAUCAAUAGCUGAUUUGAGAGGAUGAUCAGCCACAUUGGAACUGAGACACGGUCCAAACUCCUACGGGAGGCAGCAGUAGGGAAUCUUGCACAAUGGAGGAAACUCUGAUGCAGCGAUGCCGCGUGAGUGAAGAAGGCCCUUGGGUUGUAAAGCUCUUUCGUCGGGGAAGAAAAUGACUGUACCCGAAUAAGAAGGUCCGGCUAACUUCGUGCCAGCAGCCGCGGUAAUACGAAGGGACCUAGCGUAGUUCGGAAUUACUGGGCUUAAAGAGUUCGUAGGUGGUUAAAAAAGUUGGUGGUGAAAUCCCAGAGCUUAACUCUGGAACUGCCAUCAAAACUUUUUAGCUAGAGUAUGAUAGAGGAAAGCAGAAUUUCUAGUGUAGAGGUGAAAUUCGUAGAUAUUAGAAAGAAUACCGAUUGCGAAGGCAGCUUUCUGGAUCAUUACUGACACUGAGGAACGAAAGCAUGGGUAGCGAAGAGGAUUAGAUACCCUCGUAGUCCAUGCUGUAAACGAUGUGUGUUAGACGUUGGAAAUUUAUUUUCAGUGUCGCAGCGAAAGCAAUAAACACACCGCCUGGGGAGUGCGACCGCAAGGUUAAAACUCAAAUGAAUUGACGGGGACCCGCACAAGUAGUGGAGCAUGUGGUUUAAUUCGAAGAUACGCGCAGAACCUUACCAACACUUGACAUGUUCGUCGCGACUCUAAGAGAUUAGAGUUUUCGGUUCGGCCGGACGAAACACAGGUGCCGCAUGGCUGUCGUCAGCUCGUGUCGUGAGAUGUUGGGUUAAGUCCCGCAACGAGCGCAACCCUCACUUUUAGUUGCCAUCAUUUAGUUGGGCACUCUGAAAGAACUGCCAGUGAUAAGCUGGAGGAAGGUGGGGAUGACGUCAAGUCCUCAUGGCCCUUACGUGUUGGGCUACACACGUGCUACAAUGAUAUCUACAACAGGAAGCAAGAUGGCAACAUUAAGCAAAUCCCAAAAAGAUAUCUCAGUUCGGAUUGCACUCUGCAACUCGAGUGCAUGAAGCUGGAAUUACUAGUAAUCGUGGAUCAGCGUGCCACGGUGAAUACGUUCCCGGGUCUUGUACACACCGCCCGUCACACCAUGGGAGUUGGUUCUACCUUAAGGCAAAGUUUAAAACCUUUGACCACGGUAUAGUCAGCGACUGGGGUGAAGUCGUAACAAGGUAACC